AGAUGAGUAUUGAUUACUAAUCAACUACUAGCCUGGAAGAUAAAAGCCAAAGCUGUAAACAGACAGGUCAGGUAAAUAUAUGAAUGAAGAAAUUGAAACUAGAAGUAAACAUCAUGGGAAGUCUAAUUAUAGGGCAAGUAUUUUUCCUUCAUAUCUUAUUUAACAUAGUCAAACCAUGCAAUACUUAUAGGCUUAACUAUUGUUUUCAUAGAAAUAAUGUUAUUUUAAAUAUCAUGAGAUAGCAACAAAUAUUCCUUGGUAAUCUGCUAUCAGAUGACAGUUAUCUCUUUGGCAUUUUUAUGAAUUAAAGCUUUCAAAGCCAAAGUAAGACUUAAUUUUUUCUUUUCUUUAACUGCUAAUUCUAAAAUAAUUUAUCAUUGCAUGUUAAAAAUAACUUGUUAUACAUUUUUCUGUGUUUUUGGUCAAGCUUCAGAUUUGCUUAGCAUAUUCCUGUACUACAUAUCAACAAAUGUUUGAUGGUUUGUCUGGUUCAUCUCUUAACAGUAUGAAGAUGGCUACACUAAUCUUAACAAGCAAACAUUCUGUUGCCAACAGUACCAAUUUGUCAUCCUAUCCAAGCAACUACUAUUCCUUGGUAAUCUGCUAUCAGAUGAUUACAGUUUUCUCUUUGGCAUUUGUAUGAAUUAAAGCUUUCAAAGCCAAACCUUAGAUUUGGUUAGCAUAACCCUGAACUGCAUAUCAACAAAUGUCUAAUGGUCUGUCUGGUUCAUUUCUCAAGACUAUGAAGAUGGCUACACAGGUAUCAGCUAUCAGCAGUGCACCCCUAUGAUACACAAGUCUUCAUUGCCAAGUCACUCUGCCAAACAGUGUGUACACCUUUCUUGCAUUGGUAGUGACCCACUUUACUGUCAUGAGUCUGGAUAUGUCAGGCCAAGGAGAUCAAGUUUGUGUCCAAGGUUACUUAGUUAAUUCUCUAAGAACAAUAGACAGACUCUACAUGCUACUGAUCUGGAGGUUAGUGGCUCAAUCAUUGUGCACUGAUUCUUCACUGAUGCCUUGAUUCCCCACUGUCAACUUUAUUGUCAUAAAGUUUAUCUAGUGAUCUACAUAUCAAGACUAAAUGGUCAAUUAAACAUGAGGUCAAGGAAAAAGGAUGAACAUUUCAAGGCUACUGAAGGAACAUUAAACGUCUCUCUCACUGUGAAAAGAUUCUACCGAUCUACAAAUGAUCAACAUGUUUUAUCUUAAGUUCGUCUGCCAUUUCUUCAAAUGGAGCCAUAUUAAGAAUAAGAUUCUUUUUGUUCUUCCUUAGGUUCAAAUGUAUCAGUUGUUUUUGUUGACAGAUAUCAAGAUUUUCAUAAUCAUUUCAGUUCUCAAUUAUUUUGUGCACCAAGUUACAAGAAAAAAUUUAAGCAAGAGAGGUCACUACACUAAGACUUUGUCUUCUCAUAAGAAAGGAUGGCUGCCUGGUCAUGUGAUAUGUGCACUGGACUGUGUAUGGUCAUCUUGAUGCUCAUAUCUUGCCUGAUGACAUUUAUUCUGCUGAACAUUUGGUCAAGGAAGUAGAUUCUCUUCAGCUCUCAAGAAACAUUCAAAACAUGUCAAACAUUCGACAAGAAUAUCAAGUGCAAUGUACAUACCAACAUGAUGAAAAGGUAGACAACAUGAAGAUGUAGACCAACAUGAUGAAGAUGUAGACCAACAUGAAGAGGUAGACCAGCAUGAUGAAGAUGUAGACCAACAUGAUGAAGAUGUAGACCAACAUGAAGAUGAAAUGUAAACCAAAAAAUGGGUCAAGAGAUGUAUGGAAUACAAUGUGAACAUCUUGAGAAGUAAAACAAUUCCUAGAGGCAAAGACACAGACACACCGGAUCUAUUAGAGAUUUUCCUUUUCUACCAUCAUUUAGAGACUUCCUUGUGCUCUAAGGGAACCUGUCAUUAUCUUUUGAUUGCUAAUUGGCAUUGAUGUUUUUACAUUCCUACUGCGUCUGAAAGAAAUUAACAUUUCCCUAAUGCUACUUCAAAACCAGACCUUCUCAAGACAAUUUUAGUGACCAAGCUGCAAUAUGGGACUCAGUAGGAAACAAUGAAGAAUGCUCCUAACCUCAGGUUGAGUAACCAUGCUCACCUACUAGAGUGGCGACAAAUACUUCUACACCCACAGUUAUACAUCCUGAACCCUGUAACCCAACCUCACAACAUGGUUACAUUACCGGAAGUGGUCGCUAGGUCAGAAAACCUAACAGAUACAAUGGAUAGAACAAUGAACAGGUACAAGUACUCAAGCGAUGUACUUUGUGAGAACUAUUUAGGUGGAAUCACCAUAAUUGACUUGUAUAAAUCUUGUUCUAUAUUUAGGUAUAUCUUGACAAUCAGUCCAGUCAUUUGUUCAUUUUUUUUUUAAAUAUUCUUUUUUUUUCCCUCAAUCUUCUUGUUGUUUCAGUUACAUGUUUUUGUAUUUUGAAGGAGGAAGGUGCUUUGGUAUAUUAUCGUUAUUAUUAUUGUACCAGUAUUAAGCAAACUUGUAUAUCUUUAAUUAUUCAUGAAUUCUAAAGCAGAACGUCACUUCCACCGGAAAAUGUUGUAACAACUAUACAUGUCUUCAGUUAACAUUCAAUACUCUGUACAGUCACAACGCCAAAGCCAUGCUAGAUUAUGCUUUUAAUUCAAUUUGUUAUCUCCCCUGCUUUAGUGUAUCAUAUAAUUUUUUGUGUCACAUCCCUGCACAAUUUGUUCUAUGCUUUUUUACAGUAUAAAUAGCGACUUGACAUUAUUUAGCUCUAUUAUAAUAUUGUUAUAUUAUUAUAUUUAAAAUAAAACUGUUAACAUAUUCUAUGCUGUUAUAAUAUAAAUGUUUUGCUGUUACCAUGAAUACAGUUUUGAGUUUUUGUCUGAUUUCUUAGAGGAGAAAUUUUUCAUAAAUAAUAAUAAUAAGGCUUAUCUUCAAGUCCGAAGAUUAGUGAGAAGUAUGCAGUAUUCCCCAGCUAGGACCUACAUAUUUUGCUAUAAAUAAAGAGUAUAAUAAUAUUUACUACUUGGUAUUGUCAGUCUUCACUAAAGCAAUGAGUUUAUCCCCUUAGUGUGUUUAAAAUUUUCAAAUACUAAUUCACUUUGUAUUAUCUAUUGGUGAUCAUGGGGUAUCCACUUUGUCAUCUCCAUAGUCUCUGGUGUUAACACUCAGUGUCCUGUUGGAGGUUACGGCUAAGAUGUUAUCUCUCUUUCUGAUGGAACACAUGUAAAACCAACAAAACAAACAUUAGACCUAGACUUUAUUAACAGGUAAAUUUUUAUAAUUGUGAACUGGCGCUCCCAAAGCUACUUUUAUGUAUUUUAAAUUUUACUUCUGUAGGCUAGUGCUAAGCUGUAUACUUGUAUUUCUGCCUAUUAUAUGGGUUAGGGUGGAGUACUUAAAAUAGAGCCUAUGCUGUUUCCUGUACUGUUGACCAGUGGUCUCUGUGUCAGUUUUAAUUAUUCUGUACCUGGGACUGCCUGUAAGUUUCAGAAUUUUUCUUUUAUUUUUUAAAAUUUUACUAUGUGUAAAUCUGUUUUAUAUUUGAACAACUGUCAAAAUAACUAGCAGUUUUUUUUUUCUAAAGUUUGUUUUAAAACUAUGGCCAAGCCCUGCCCAGUGCUGUCAUGAUGGCCACUUCUAAUGUUUAUGUACUAGAUUGUAACUGCUGCCUUAGUCAUUGAAAUUAAAGUCUCAUUUUUGAAUUUC